CUGGUUGAUCCUGCCAGAGGUUACUGCUAUCGAGGUUCGACUAAGCCAUGCGAGUCGAAUGUAGCAAUACAUGGCGUACUGCUCAGUAACACGUGGACAACCUACCCUUAGGACGGGGAUAAACCCGGGAAACUGGGUAUAAUACCCGAUGGUCCUCGGCUGCUGGAAUGCAUCGAGGACUAAAGCUCCGGCGCCUAAGGAUGGGUCUGCGGCCUAUCAGGUAGUAGUGGGUGUAGCGUACCUACUAGCCUACGACGGGUACGGGUUGUGAGAGCAAGAGCCCGGAGAUGGAUUCUGAGACACGAAUCCAGGCCCUACGGGGUGCAGCAGGCGCGAAAACUUUACAAUGCUGGCAACAGCGAUAAGGGAACCUCGAGUGCCAGGUUACAAAUCUGGCUGUCGUGAUGCCUAAAAAGCAUUGCAUAGCAAGGGCCGGGCAAGACCGGUGCCAGCCGCCGCGGUAACACCGGCGGCUCGAGUGGUAACCGUUAUUAUUGGGUCUAAAGGGUCUGUAGCCGGCCGGAUAAGUCUCUUGGGAAAUCUGGCAGCUCAACUGUCAGGCUUUCAGGAGAUACUGUCUGGCUCGAGGCCGGGAGAGGUGAGAGGUACUUCAGGGGUAGGGGUGAAAUCUUGUAAUCCUUGAAGGACCACCAGUGGCGAAGGCGUCUCACCAGAACGGACCUGACGGCAAGGGACGAAAGCUAGGGGCACGAACCGGAUUAGAUACCCGGGUAGUCCUAGCCGUAAACGAUACUCGCUAGGUGUCGGCCACGGUGCGACCGUUGUCGGUGCCGUAGGGAAGCCGUGAAGCGAGCCACCUGGGAAGUACGGCCGCAAGGCUGAAACUUAAAGGAAUUGGCGGGGGAGCACCACAACGGGUGGAGCUUGCGGUUUAAUUGGAUUCAACGCCGGG
rnacentral:rRNA from 1 species